GUGGAGCUUCUGGUGAUGAAGGCUCUGUCUGUGGGGCUGAUCAAAGGUAACAUUGACGAGGUGGACCAGAAGGUGCAGAUGACCUGGGUGCAGCCCAGAGUACUGGACCUGCAGCAGAUCAAAGGUAUGAAGGAGCGUUUGGACUUUUGGUGUGGCGACGUUAAGAACAUGGCCAUGCUGGUGGAGCAGCAGGCCCACGACAUCCUCACCUGAAUUUCCCCUUCGGCCCCUCGGAGGGAGACCUCACUCUGUUUUUGUAUUGUUUUUCUUUCUGUUGGAUGUUUAUUCUUCUGUUAACCAUCUCUGUUUAUUAUCAACCUGUAAAUUACACUGCGGUGUUUUGCAAAUAAACACUUGGUUGUAACAUUAUUAUCGUUGCCAUGUCUGGACAAUAUUGUUCAAAACAUGAAUAAAAAUGACCAUGACAACAGUCAAA